GGGGUUGCGGACAGUGUCUGGUGGGUAGUUUGACUGGGGCGGUCUCCUCCCAAAGCGUAACGGAGGAGCACGAAGGUUAGCUAAUCCUGGUCGGACAUCAGGAGGUUAGUGCAAUGGCAUAAGCUAGCUUGACUGCGAGCGUGACGGCGCGAGCAGGUGCGAAAGCAGGUCAUAGUGAUCCGGUGGUUCUGAAUGGAAGGGCCAUCGCUCAACGGAUAAAAGGUACUCCGGGGAUAACAGGCUGAUACCGCCCAAGAGUUCAUAUCGACGGCGGUGUUUGGCACCUCGAUGUCGGCUCAUCACAUCCUGGGGCUGAAGUAGGUCCCAAGGGUAUGGCUGUUCGCCAUUUAAAGUGGUACGCGAGCUGGGUUUAGAACGUCGUGAGACAGUUCGGUCCCUAUCUGCCGUGGGCGCUGGAGAAUUGAGGGGGGCUGCUCCUAGUACGAGAGGACCGGAGUGGACGCAUCACUGGUGUUCGGGUUGUCAUGCCAAUGGCACUGCCCGGUAGCUAAAUGCGGAAGAGAUAAGUGCUGAAAGCAUCUAAGCACGAAACUUGCCCCGAGAUGAGUUCUCCCUGAGACUUUAAGUCUCCUGAAGGAACGUUGAAGACGACGACGUUGAUAGGCCGGGUGUGUAAGCGCAGCGAUGCGUUGAGCUAACCGGUACUAAUGAACCGUGAGGCUUAACCUUACAACGCCGAAG
rnacentral:rRNA from 2 species